GAGUUUGAUCCUGGCUCAGGACGAACGCUGGCGGCGUGCCUAAUACAUGCAAGUCGAACGAACUCUGGUAUUGAUUGGUGCUUGCAUCAUGAUUUACAUUUGAGUGAGUGGCGAACUGGUGAGUAACACGUGGGAAACCUGCCCAGAAGCGGGGGAUAACACCUGGAAACAGAUGCUAAUACCGCAUAACAACUUGGACCGCAUGGUCCGAGCUUGAAAGAUGGCUUCGGCUAUCACUUUUGGAUGGUCCCGCGGCGUAUUAGCUAGAUGGUGGGGUAACGGCUCACCAUGGCAAUGAUACGUAGCCGACCUGAGAGGGUAAUCGGCCACAUUGGGACUGAGACACGGCCCAAACUCCUACGGGAGGCAGCAGUAGGGAAUCUUCCACAAUGGACGAAAGUCUGAUGGAGCAACGCCGCGUGAGUGAAGAAGGGUUUCGGCUCGUAAAACUCUGUUGUUAAAGAAGAACAUAUCUGAGAGUAACUGUUCAGGUAUUGACAGUAUUUAACCAGAAAGCCACGGCUAACUACGUGCCAGCAGCCGCGGUAAUACGUAGGUGGCAAGCGUUGUCCGGAUUUAUUGGGCGUAAAGCGAGCGCAGGCGGUUUUUUAAGUCUGAUGUGAAAGCCUUCGGCUCAACCGAAGAAGUGCAUCGGAAACUGGGAAACUUGAGUGCAGAAGAGGACAGUGGAACUCCAUGUGUAGCGGUGAAAUGCGUAGAUAUAUGGAAGAACACCAGUGGCGAAGGCGGCUGUCUGGUCUGUAACUGACGCUGAGGCUCGAAAGUAUGGGUAGCAAACAGGAUUAGAUUCCCUGGUAGUCCAUACCGUAAACGAUGAAUGCUAAGUGUUGGAGGGUUUCCGCCCUUCAGUGCUGCAGCUAACGCAUUAAGCAUUCCGCCUGGGGAGUACGGCCGCAAGGCUGAAACUCAAAGGAAUUGACGGGGGCCCGCACAAGCGGUGGAGCAUGUGGUUUAAUUCGAAGCUACGCGAAGAACCUUACCAGGUCUUGACAUACUAUGCAAAUCUAAGAGAUUAGACGUUCCCUUCGGGGACAUGGAUACAGGUGGUGCAUGGUUGUCGUCAGCUCGUGUCGUGAGAUGUUGGGUUAAGUCCCGCAACGAGCGCAACCCUUAUUAUCAGUUGCCAGCAUUAAGUUGGGCACUCUGGUGAGACUGCCGGUGACAAACCGGAGGAAGGUGGGGAUGACGUCAAAUCAUCAUGCCCCUUAUGACCUGGGCUACACACGUGCUACAAUGGAUGGUACAACGAGUUGCGAACUCGCGAGAGUAAGCUAAUCUCUUAAAGCCAUUCUCAGUUCGGAUUGUAGGCUGCAACUCGCCUACAUAAAGUCGGAAUCGCUAGUAAUCGCGGAUCAGCAUGCCGCGGUGAAUACGUUCCCGGGCCUUGUACACACCGCCCGUCACACCAUGAGAGUUUGUAACACCCAAAGUCGGUGGGGUAACCUUUUAGGAACCAGCCGCCUAAGGUGGGACAGAUGAUUAGGGUGAAGUCGUAACAAGGUAGCCGUAG
rnacentral:rRNA from 1 species